CAGUGAUGAGCUGCCAAAAUCUUAACAACCGGUUCCCUAUCAAAAGUUUUGAUUUAAUGGAUGUGCCCCAGUAUUUAUUUUUUUGUACCAACAGGGUUACCAUAUGUCCGUAUUUUCCUGGGAGGAGA